UUAAAUCAAAAUUGUAUGGAGUUGGAACGUUUGCUUACGUUUGCCGCUAGGGGCGCUGUUCCAACUCCAUACAAAUUUGAGUUA
rnacentral:pre_miRNA from 1 species